rnacentral:rRNA from 1 species
UGGGGAAUAUUGCACAAGUGGGGGAAACCCUGAUGCAGCGACGCCGCGUGAGCGAAGAAGUAUUUCGGUAUGUAAAGCUCUAUCAGCAGGGAAGAAAAUGACGGUACCUGACUAAGAAGCUCCGGCUAAAUACGUGCC